rnacentral:tRNA from 2 species
UGCCCAAUAGCUCAGUCGGUAGAGCGACGGACUGUUAAUCCGCAGGUCACUGGUUCGAAUCCAGUUUGGGCAGCCA